rnacentral:rRNA from 1 species
CUAAUACCUCAUAAUGCAGCGGAUCCGCAUGGAUAUGUUGUUAAGUUUACCGCCUUGGGAUAGGCUUGCGUCUGAUUAGCUAGUUGGUGUGGUAAUGGCACACCAAGGCUACGAUCAGUAACUGGUCUGAGAGGAUGAUCAGUCACACUGGAACUGAGACACGGUCCAGACUCCUACGGGAGGCAGCAGUGAGGAAUAUUGGGCAAUGCACGAAAGUGUGACCCAGCAACGCCGCGUGGAGGAUGAAGGUAUUCUAUAUCGUAAACUCCUGUGAGAGCAGACGAAAGACAGAUUAUUAAUUUGGAUGACUGUAUGCUCAGAGGAAGCCCCGGCUAACUACGUG